AGUCGACGAUGAAUCUUCUAGCUUGCUAGAAGUGGAUUAGUGGCGCACGGGUGAGUAAUGCAUAGGUUAUGUGCCCUUUAGUCUGGGAUAGCCACUGGAAACGGUGAUUAAUACUGGAUACUCCCUACGGGGGAAAGUUUUUCGCUAAAGGAUCAGCCUAUGUCCUAUCAGCUAGUUGGUGAGGUAAUGGCUCACCAAGGCUAUGACGGGUAUCCGGCCUGAGAGGGUGAUCGGACACACUGGAACUGAGACACGGUCCAGACUCCUACGGGAGGCAGCAGUAGGGAAUAUUGCUCAAUGGGGGAAACCCUGAAGCAGCAACGCCGCGUGGAGGAUGAAGGUUUUAGGAUUGUAAACUCCUUUUGUUAGAGAAGAUUAUGACGGUAUCUAACGAAUAAGCACCGGCUAACUCCGUGCCAGCAGCCGCGGUAAUACGGAGGGUGCAAGCGUUACUCGGAAUCACUGGGCGUAAAGAGUGCGUAGGCGGGGUAAUAAGUCAGAUGUGAAAUCCUGUAGCUUAACUACAGAACUGCAUUUGAAACUGUUACUCUGGAGUGUGGGAGAGGUAGGUGGAAUUCUUGGUGUAGGGGUAAAAUCCGUAGAGAUCAAGAGGAAUACUCAUUGCGAAGGCGACCUGCUGGAACAUUACUGACGCUGAUGCACGAAAGCGUGGGGAGCAAACAGGAUUAGAUACCCUGGUAGUCCACGCCCUAAACGAUGGAUGCUAGUUGUUGCCUUGCUUGUCAGGGCAGUAAUGCAGCUAACGCAUUAAGCAUCCCGCCUGGGGAGUACGGUCGCAAGAUUAAAACUCAAAGGAAUAGACGGGGACCCGCACAAGCGGUGGAGCAUGUGGUUUAAUUCGAAGAUACGCGAAGAACCUUACCUAGGCUUGACAUUGAU
rnacentral:rRNA from 1 species